GACGAACGCUGGCGGCGUGCUUAACACAUGCAAGUCGAACGGAAAGGCCCUGCUUUUGUGGGGUGCUCGAGUGGCGAACGGGUGAGUAACACGUGAGUAACCUGCCCUUUACUUUGGGAUAACUUCAGGAAACUGGGGCUAAUACCGGAUAGGAGCUCCUGCUGCAUGGUGGGGGUUGGAAAGUUUCGGCGGUUGGGGAUGGACUCGCGGCUUAUCAGCUUGUUGGUGGGGUAGUGGCUUACCAAGGCUUUGACGGGUAGCCGGCCUGAGAGGGUGACCGGCCACAUUGGGACUGAGAUACGGCCCAGACUCCUACGGGAGGCAGCAGUGGGGAAUAUUGCACAAUGGGCGGAAGCCUGAUGCAGCAACGCCGCGUGCGGGAUGACGGCCUUCGGGUUGUAAACCGCGUUCGCCUGUGACGAAGCGUGAGUGACGGUAAUGGGUAAAGAAGCACCGGCUAACUACGUG
rnacentral:rRNA from 1 species